UACGAAGGGGGGCGAGCGUUUGUUCGGAUUUACUGGGCGUAAAGGGCGCGCAGGCGGCUCAUUUUGUCAGGCGUGAAAGCCCCGGGCUUAACCUGGGAACUGCGUUUGAUACGGAUGGGCUAGAGUUCGGGAGAGGAGCGUGGAAUUCCCAGUGUAGAGGUGAAAUUCGUAGAUAUUGGGAAGAACACCGGUGGCGAAGGCGGCGCUCUGGACCGAGACUGACGCUGAGGCGCGAAAGCGUGGGGAGCAAACAGG
rnacentral:rRNA from 1 species